rnacentral:rRNA from 1 species
CCUACGGGGGGCAGCAGUCGAGAAUUUUUCUCAAUGGGGGAAACCCUGAAGGAGCGACGCCGCGUGGAGGAUGAAGGUCUUCGGAUCGUAAACUCCUGUCAUUUGGGAACUAGUACCAGAAGAGGAAGAGACGGCUAACUCUGUGCCAGCAGCCGCGGUAAUACAGAGGUCUCAACCGUUGUUCGGAUUCAUUGGGCGUAAAGGGUGCGUAGGCGGUCGUGUAAGUCGGAUGUGAAAUCUCAGGGCUCAACCCUGAAACUGCAUUCGAUACUGCAUGGCUAGGGUACUGGAGAGGAGAUUGGAAUUUACGGUGUAGCAGUGAAAUGCGUAGAUAUCGUAAGGAAGACCAGUGGCGAAGGCGAAUCUCUGGACAGUACCGACGCUGAGGCACGAAGGUCAGGGGAGCAAACGGGAUUAGAUACCCUAGUAGUC